rnacentral:rRNA from 1 species
UACGUAGGGGGCAAGCGUUGUCCGGAUUUAUUGGGCGUAAAGAGCGUGUAGGCGGCCAUACAGGUCCGUUGUGAAAACUGGAGGCUUAACCUCCAGACGUCGAUGGAAACCGUAUGGCUAGAGUCCGGAAGAGGAGAGUGGAAUUCCUGGUGUAGCGGUGAAAUGCGCAGAUAUCAGGAGGAACACCGAUGGCGAAGGCAGGUCUCUGGGCCACUACUGACGCUGAGAAGCGAAAGCAUGGGGAGCGAACAGG